rnacentral:lncRNA from 1 species
AAAACCGCCAGAAAUGAUCAUGCAUGUACUCCAAACAAUUGCACAUCAAUGAAAAAGGUGCUAAUCUUGAAAGGACACAUGGUGGAUGAUGCCCCCAUUGAGGUGAGAUAUAUUCUUCAUAUCCCAUGAAAAGUGUUUGUGACCCGUUUUAAACAGUUACAUAAUCUGCUAGACCAAGUUGUUUUUCCGAGUUCCUACAAAUUGUUACGCAUUAUUCAUUUUUUAAAAAUAUAUAUACAAUUGUGUUUCAUAAAAUUUAAAUUUCAAAACCCGUGGGUAUUCACGGAUGAUAACCUAUUAAUAUGUUAUAUUUUUAAAAAGUAUAAAUUUUUAAUAAGUAAUAAAAUAAAACUACCCGGGAAGUUGGGUGAUCCGAAUCAAAAGGUCAGCUACAUAUUCAUUCGGAUCCGUGUCCAUCUGAAAUUAAAUAGGUAUUUUGUAGAGAAUUAAUAGUAUUGCAAUUUCUAUUGCGUAUUGCCAUAUUGAAGUGAAGUAAAUGCCCUAAGUAAUUCAAUUUCUGGUUUUUUUUUUUCUUCUUGGUAAGGUUUGCCAAACAUAGGUCUUAGCACGAAGAGAUAUCAGGUUAUAAAUGAUACAAAAAAAUACUUUUAUAGAUAUAGAUUUUUUUUAACAUAACCCAUAACCCGUGAAGCUCACGGUUAUAUAACCUAGUAAAGGUAUAUAUCAGUAGAUGAAAGCUUAUGUGUAAGUAUUAAAAUUAGGCUAUAUUAUUUUAACAUCUCAUACUACAAACAUGUAAUAACUAUUGUAUAAAUUGUUGUAGCUUCUUAUGUUACUUUUCACAUCUACAUUUAUUUUCUUGUCCAAGAAAAUAAAAUCUAGAAUUCACAACCAUGUUAAGGAUUAAAUAGAAAGUUUAUUUGGCUAAAAAUUAUAGAAAGCAAUAAGAUUAUGACAUGUGGCAAAAGUUAAAAUAAGAGGAAGGGUAUUUUAGUUAAUUUUACCCAAUCUUCUCCUUUCUUCUUCUUCCCUAUAUAACUUCAAAGCCCAUCAUCUUCAACCUUUUCUUCACUUUCUAUCUCAAUAAUCACUACAUUAUAGUGCGAUUUUCGUCACCAAUCAAUGAUUCAAACACCCAAUCAACGUGUUCUUCAACUUUUUUGAAGAAACCCAUUUUAGUUUUAUACAGUAUCUCAUUUUUUUCCCGGUGAUUUUGAAGCGAAUCACUUGAUUCGUUCGAUUGGAUCACUGAUAAGUGUUUCUAACAUUCAAAUUUCAUCGGUCGGUGAAGAAAUCGGCUUCGGUCUAUGUAAGAAAUUUUUGAAUUACGAUCUGGGUUUUUGAUACGAGUCAUUGUGUUUUACGAUCUUGGCGGGGGUCCGAGGUAGCGCCCCUGGAAGCAGGGUCCAAGGGGCGGCAGCCCCUGGCGGGGUCCAAGAAAAUUUAUUUUUUUAGAAAUUGCCUUAUUUUCGUAGACAGUUUUUGAUCUCCUACUUUCUAGUUCAGUCAUUGCGUUUUAGAAAUAAGACAUUUUUAUGUGUUUUUAGACUAUUGCGUUUUAGAAAUAAGACAUUUUUAUGUGUUUCUGGCCAUUGCCUUUUAAAAAACACAUUUUUGAAGUGUUUUUAGUCAUUGCGUUUUAGGUAAAACACAUUUUUAUGUGUUUUCAGUCAAUUGCGUUUUAGAAAGUACAUUUUCUUUUGUAUUUUGAGGCCAUUGCGUUUUAGAAAAAAAAUAUUUCUUUGUGUUUUCUGGCCAUUGCGUUUUAGAAAUAAGAGAUUUCUUUGUGUUUUUUGGUGCAUUGCGUUUUAGAAAAAAAAAAUCAUUUUUUACGUUUUUUUUGCAUUGCGUUUUACGCAACUGGGUUUUCGAAAAAAAUUCAAAAAUAUAGCAAUAGUAUACUCUUUUUAAAGAUAAAAUAACGCUCGUUUUUUUUGUACAAUUUUUAUAAAAAGAUAAUGUCGUAUGAAAAAGUUAUUAACGUUUAAAAAAUUGGGGGGGGGAUUGGAGGAAAGAGAAACUAUUAUUCUAGAUUGACUAGAAUGCUCUUACACAAACCCACGCGCUUCUUUUUUCUUCUUCAAUUUCACUCAUUUAAUCUAAGCCCUUGAUUAAAUCAAUUGAUGAUCAAGAUUACUUCCUAGCCUUCGUAGCCAAAAAAACUUUCUCUUAUAUCAUAUCCCUCACAACCAUUGCUAUAAAAUAUGGUAGAAAUUGUUUCCCUAAAUAUUUCAAGAUGAAAGGUGAAAGGUUUUUGAGAGAUGAUUGUAACAAAGUUUAAUCCAUGUCUUUGAUUGUGAAGCACCAUAACUUUCAAAUAAGGAAACAUCCUGAAAAAGACUCUUUUUGACCCGCGUCUCAAGUGAAUAUGCCUUUGACUUUCUGUUACCACAAAUGUCUACUCGAAGACAGGUAGCGACGCCGGUGUUUUAAGUUCACACAACUGUGUUUAGAUCCAAUGAGAACGGGCAACGUCGUUGUAUUUAUUAAUGUAUGCAUCUUCAGAUGGGGUUUUUGUCGUCAAUGUCACGGACCAUUUUGUGGCUUUAACGGUGAGGAAUUUGAAGAAAUUAGCUAGGAGAGAUGUUAUUAAACUAGUAACUGGACUUUAUAUUUGUUAAAAACAUAAGUAAACAUAAGUAACAAUAUAAUGUCACUUGGAUCAAUUCCAAUUCCAUCUUUAUACAUUUCAGCUAAUUGUUUAUAUUUUUUCUUUUAUAUUUUAGCUCUUAUAUUUUGUCUUUUAUAUUUUUUCUUUGUUUUGCAUAUGGGUUGCUGGUGGCUACUGGGAUGAGAUGCUAAUUAGGCUUGCUUAUGCUGACUGGGCUUGCUUGUUAUAACAGAAUUGGGCUUCUUGUGCUGACUGGGUUUACUUGUUACAACAGAACAACAGUAUCCUACCGAACCGGGUAUAACGGGUUACCAGGUUAUAUCCGGGUAUCUAUAUAAAGAGAGUACAGGUUCUUCUAAGGGCUUAACUGAGAUAUUUUUCAUCGUUAUUUUUAGUUAUUAUAUGUUCGUAGUUGGUCGUUAGAUAUUUGCUGGAGCUUGCAGGAAGGAGGAGUUGUUGUGGGUAAAGAACCAUUGUUGGGUUCUUGAUAUACAUUAUGAGUUUUUAAACGUUUACUUGGGUUUGAAGUUAAUGCUUCCGAUGUUAAAUUAGACUUGUAUUGAACUGUUAGACACUAAUCAUAUUGAUGGUGUUUGGUUUUAUUUACUUUAUUAAAAU